rnacentral:rRNA from 1 species
AGUGAACGCUGGCGGUAGGCCUAACACAUGCAAGUCGAACGGCAGCACAGUAAGAGCUUGCUCUUACGGGUGGCGAGUGGCGGACGGGUGAGGAAUACAUCGGAAUCUACUUUUUCGUGGGGGAUAACGUAGGGAAACUUACGCUAAUACCUCAUACGACCUACGGGUGGAAGCAGGGGAUCUUCGGACCUUGCGCGAUUGAAUGAGCCGAUGUCGGAUUAGCUAGUUGGCGGGGUAAAGGCCCACCAAGGCGACGAUCCGUAGCUGGUCUGAGAGGAUGAUCAGCCACACUGGAACUGAGACACGGUCCAGACUCCUACGGGAGGCAGCAGUGGGGAAUAUUGGACAAUGGGCGCAAGCCUGAUCCAGCAAUACCGCGUGGGUGAAGAAGGCCUUCGGGUUGUAAAGCCCUUUUGUUGGGAAAGAAAAGCAGCAGGUUAAUACCCCGCUGUUCUGACGGUACCCAAAGAAUAAGCACCGGCUAACUUCGUG